rnacentral:rRNA from 1 species
AUGCCUACGAGCUUUUCACAUAUUGUGCUUCGCUUAUUUACUUUUCCGUUGCUACUGUUACAAUUACUACAAAUCUAUUAUCUUUACUUUUACCACUAUUACCAUUACUAUCAUACUACUUUGCUACUAAAUACUCUGUUGCAGAUACUAAGUUAUCCAGGUGUGGUUGAAUUGACAACUCAACUGCUAAUACUUAAGAAUAUUCUUUGGCUCCCCUUGUGUCGAAUUAAUAAAUUUGGGUUGAAUACUCUACCCUUGAAAGUUGUUGCGAUCGCCUACACUUGUGGGUUAUCAAGACUAAUUUCUGGUGCCAUUGCCGGGGAGCAUAGCUCUAUUCUAUGA